rnacentral:rRNA from 1 species
UAAGACGAAGGUGACAACCGUUACUCGGAAUCACUGGGCAUAAAGCGCGCGUAGGUGGCUGGGUAAGUCCAUGGUGAAAUCCCUCGGCUCAACCGAGGAACGGCCGUGGAUACUGCCUGGCUUGAGGUCGGGAGGGGAAAGUGGAACUCUCGGUGUAGCGGUGAAAUGCGUAGAUAUCGAGAGGAACGCCGGUGGCGAAAGCGACUUUCUGGACCGUACCUGACACUGAGGCGCGAAAGCUAGGGGAGCAAACAGGAUUAGAUACCCUGGUAGUCCUAGCUGUAAACGAUGAGUACUGGGUAGGGGUGGUCCAAUGCCAUCCUUGCCGGAGCAAAUGUGUUAAGUACUCCGCCUGGGGAGUAUGGUCGCAAGGCUA